GAUGAACGCUGGCGGCGUGCUUAACACAUGCAAGUCGAACGGAGAUGCUCUAGCUUCCUGGGGUGGCUCAGUGCCAUACGGGUGAGUAUCGCGAGCGCAUCCUGCCCCUGACUCUGGAAUAAGCGCUGGAAGCGGCGACUAAUACUGGAUACGAGAUGGGACCGCAUGGGCACUGUCAGGACAGUUUGACGGUUGGGGAUGGGCUCGCGGUCUAUCAGCUUGUUGGUGAGGUAUUGGCUUACCAAGGCGACGGCGGGUAGCCGGCCUGAGGGGGUGACCGGCCACACUGCGACUGAGACACGGCGCAGAAUCGUACGGGAGGCAGCAGUCGGGAAUAUUGCACAAUGAGCGAAAGCCUGAUGAAGCGACGCCGCGAGAGGGAUGACCGCCUUCGAGUUGUAAACGUCUGUGAGAGGGAAAGAAGAGAAAGUGACGGUACCUGCCGAAAAAGCACCGGCUAACUACGUG
rnacentral:rRNA from 1 species